rnacentral:rRNA from 1 species
UACGAAGGGGGCUAGCGUUGCUCGGAAUCACUGGGCGUAAAGGGCGCGUAGGCGGCCCGCGCAAGCGUGCGGUGAAAGCCCGGGGCUCAACCCCGGGUCGGCCGUGCGGACUGCGGGGCUCGAGCACUGUAGGGGCAGAUGGAAUUCCGGGCGUAGCGGUGGAAUGCGUAGAGAUCCGGAAGAACACCAGUGGCGAAGGCGGCUCACUGGCCCGGUACUGACGCUGAGGUGCGAAAGCGUGGGGAGCAAACAGG